GACGAACGCUAGCGGCAGGCUUAAUACAUGCAAGUCGAGGGACAGCACAGGUAGCAAUACUGGGUGGUAACCGGCAAACGGGUGCGGAACACGUACACAACCUUCCUUUAAGUGGGGGAUAGCCCAGAGAAAUUUGGAUUAAUACCCCGUAAUAUAGUUGAAUGGCAUCAUUUGAUUAUUAUAGCUACGGCGCUUAAUGAUGGGUGUGCGGCUGAUUAGAUAGUUGGCGGGGUAACGGCCCACCAAGUCUACGAUCAGUAGCUGAUGUGAGAGCAAGAGCAGCCACGCGGGAACUGAGACACGGGCCCGACUCCUACGGGAGGCAGCAGUAAGGAAUAUUGGUCAAUGGACGCAAGUCUGAACCAGCCAUGCCGCGUGAAGGAUUAAGGUCCUCUGGAUUGUAAGCUUCUUUUAUUUGGGACGAAAAAGGGCCUUUCUAGGUCAACUGACGGUACCAGAUGAAUAAGCACCGGCUAACUCCGUGCCAGCAGCCGCCGUAACAC
rnacentral:rRNA from 1 species